GAAUCACACAGAGCCGGUGUGGGUUCCAGAGGGGCUAGUGCAACACUGUCAAAAUGAAGAAGCUGAUCUUGCUCGUGGUGAGCAUGUGUCUGCCCCUGAUGGGUGCGGAACCCAGAUGGGGGAUACUGUCAGUGUUUCCUCUUCGUCGUGAUGCUUCCUGUUAAGAAAUUCCUGUUAAGAAAUUGGACUGCAAAUUUUGAUGGCAAGAUGAAUGAGCUUCGCUCGGUGAUUGUCACUGUGAAUUCUACCCGAAUGGAUCCUGGCUUGGCAUCAGGAAAGAAUGGGCUGGGAUAGGUGCCCUCACUGUGACCCUUGUUUUGGCAUGCAUGUUGUGUGUAUGGUGUAUGUGUCAGUUGCGGAAUGCCAAGUUCCACACUGCCGCCAUGGUGGUGCAAGCUUUUGCCACAGUGGAAGCAGGGCAGUCACCUCAGAUUUGGCUUGUUACCAUGAAGAAUGAACAAUGAAGCCAUCACUCCACGGGGUUGUAAGGAUAAGCACUGCACAGAGGUUAGUCUGGAAGCUGUUUGGCCAUCUCUGGGAGGUAUGUCUGAUUGCAUGAGGGU
rnacentral:lncRNA from 1 species